AAUGAACGCUGGCGGCGUGCCUAAUACAUGCAAGUCGAGCGAACAGACCAGGAGCUUGCUCCUCUGACGUUAGCGGCGGACGGGUGAGUAACACGUGGAUAACCUACCUAUAAGACUGGGAUAACUUCGGGAAACCGGAGCUAAUACCGGAUAAUAUAUUGAACCGCAUGGUUCAAUAGUGAAAGACGGUUUUGCUGUCACUUAUAGAUUGAUCCGCGCCGCAUUAGCUACUUGGUAAGGUAACGGCUUACCAAGGCAACGAUGCGUAACCGACCUGAAAGGGUGAUGAGCCACAGUUGAACUGAGACACGGUUCAGACUCAUACGGGAGGAAGCAGGAGGGAAUCUUCUGCAAUGGGCGAAAGCCUGACGGAGCAACGCCGCGGGAGUGAUGAAGGUCUUCGGAUCGUAAAAAGCUGUUAUUAGGGAAGAACAAAUGUGUAAGUAACUAUGCAAGUCUUGACGGUACCUAAUCAGAAAGACACGGCUAACUACGUG
rnacentral:rRNA from 1 species